GGGGCGGUGCUGCGUGUCGCGGCUGGGAGGCGGCUGUGGGAGCUGAGUCGCUGCCGCCUGCCCGGGUGAGUGGGGAGCGGCCGGGACCGGGACGGGACACGGGGGUCGGUUGGGCUGUCCGGGUAGCGCUGGCGAAGGGGACGCGGGGCGGGAGAGAGGCGAGCGGAGCGCUCCGUGCGCGGCCCGGGAGCGGGAGCCCGGCGGGAGCGGCCGCUGCUGCAGCCCCGCCGCCCGGCGGAGGGAGGGGGCCGGGUGGGUCGGGGCGCGGGCCCGGCCCGCUGCCCUCUGCGGCCCCGACCGCCGCUCCGUGCGUCCCUCCCCCGGCGCCGGCGGCCCGCGCCGCUCCCAGCCGCGCCCGCCCGCUCCCUCUCCUCGCGCCCCGGCCCGGCUGGGCGGCUCCCGCCGCUCCUCUCGGCCGGGCGGCCCCGGGGCGGCUGUACGGGGCCCUGGGGGCCGCGCCGUGCGCUGCCUCGGCCCGGGUGCGCUGCGGACUGCCCCGCUCGGCCGGGCGGUCCCGGAGCUGCGGUUGUGGGAGCUCUGCCUGUAGGUCUGGUCAGCUCACGUCUGUCAGCAAGCUGCAUGUUUUGUGCAGCUUACAAAGCGUGUGCGUGAGUGGCACUCGGUGAGGAAGAACGCUUUUCCGGUGGCUGCUAGAGGGGUGCUCGGCAUGCUGCUGACAUGAGAGUCUUCCGGUAGUGAGCACCGUGCUGCUGGGGCUUUGAAGCGUUAAAUACAACAGAUCUGGUUAAGAAUAAGACUCGGGUUCUGAAGCAUUUGAGCAGCUUGUUACUGCCCAAGUCAUGACGCUCCCGUUUCGAAAAGACUUGGACAAGUACAAAGAUCUUGAUGAGGAUGACAUUCUAGGCAAACUAUCAGAAGAAGAACUGAAACAGCUGGAAACGGUUUUGGAUGAUCUUGACCCUGAGAAUGCACUUCUGCCUGCAGGCUUCCGACAGAAGGACCAGACUGCUAAAAAGGCCUCGGGUCCUUUUGACAGAGAACGACUCCUUGCAUAUUUGGAGAAGCAAGCUCUUGAGCACAAAGACAGGGAAGACUACGUGCCUUUUACAAAAGAAAAGAAAGGGAAAGUAUUUAUCCCGAAGCAAAAGCCUGCCCAGUCUUAUGCAGAAGAAAAAAUUGCUCUUGAUCCAGAACUAGAGGAAGCCUUGACAAGUGCCACAGACACAGAGCUAUGUGACCUCGCAGCUAUACUGGGAAUGUCCAACUUGAUAACAAACAAUCAGUUCUGUGAUAUAGUAGGAAGCAGUAAUGGGGUUGGCAAAGACAGCUUUUCAAAUAUAGUAAAAGGUGAAAAAAUGUUACCUGUUUUUGAUGAACCACCAAAUCCCACAAAUGUGGAGGAGACUCUGCAGAGGAUUAAAGAUAAUGAUUCCCGUCUUGUUGAAGUUAAUCUAAAUAACAUCAAGAACAUACCAAUUCCAACGCUGAAAGAAUUUGCAAAAGCUUUAGAAACCAACACACAUGUGAAGAAUUUUAGCCUUGCAGCCACCCGAAGUAAUGAUCCUGUUGCUGUUGCUCUUGCAGAUAUGCUGAGAGUAAACACAAAAUUAAAAAGUUUAAACAUAGAAUCAAACUUCAUCACCGGAGUUGGAAUUUUGGCACUGGUCGAUGCACUGAAAGACAAUGAAACACUGACAGAGAUCAAAAUUGAUAAUCAGAGGCAGCAGCUGGGUACUCUUGCAGAAGUAGAAAUUGCCAAGAUGCUUGAAGAAAACACCAAGAUCCUUAAAUUUGGAUACCAUUUCACACAACAGGGACCUCGAGCCAGGGCAGCUGCAGCUAUCACAAAAAACAAUGACUUGGUCUGGAGUAGCCGAGUAAAAAUUUCUGCAAAUACCUUUUCACCUCUCCAGCCCUGAAGCUACAGAGACAGGUUACUCUGAGUGCCCACUUGGGUGUCAAGCACUGAAAACCAAGAUGCUCAGUCUUUCUGCUGUCUUUUUCGCAAGAGAAGGGUUGAAGGAGAUGGCCAGUAGAUCUUGUUAGAACUGUGUGAAGAUUUCAAGGGUCUUCAAAGCACGCUCCUCACGGUGGGCUUUGGCAAUCUUGGACUGCAUUUACCUGGGUUAGAAGGGAAAAGACUGGAAACCCCAUUCCUUUUAAAGCAAAGCUAUAUUAAUAAUCUGCUGGUAUGCAUCACAUUUUUCAUAACCACACCAAUCCAUGUACAGAUCCAGUUUUUGAUUGUUUUUGUUUGUUUUUUUUAAAGAACUUUUUUGUAUUUUAAGACCUUGGCUUUGCUUUCUACUAAAAAUGUAAUCGCAAAUCAAUUGUAUAGUUGUCUGUAGUCAAAGAAUGGGACAUUCAAGAUCAUUGGGCAUAUAAUGACCCGAUUGAAAUGUUAGAAAAUCUAGGGGUUCUCAUUUACAUGAAGGGGUUUGUAUGUUCUUGAGAACAAUGCUUCAGUGAUGAUGGAUUUUCACACAAUGGUUGGACUCAUUGUUUGGAGCUGUUCAUCCUUGUUCAUAUGCACUGAAGGGAAAUCUUUCACAAUUGUCUUAUUUGUGUAUUUUUUUGUUUUGAUUUGUUCUUGAUACUGUGAUGAAGUGUAAACAUCCCUUAAAAACAGGCAAAAAUACAUUGAUUUGAGGGACUAAUUAAAAAAAACUGGGAGUCUUGCAAAAAAAAAAAAAAAUUAAAAGCCUUGCAAAGUGGGUUUUUCCUUAUACACUUAAGUCCUAAAAGUCUUUUAAAAUGUCCCGGAAUUGUAACUUGCUCUGUAUCUAAACUGGACACCUUUAGACUAUCAUGUGCUCAUCAGCAUUUAGUUCAUAGCCUUCGUUUAAAAAUUCUUAUCUACAUGCAUAACUAGUAUGAAUUUCUCUAGAAGUAGUGGACAAGCUUUUGUUAAAUUUGCCUAAUUUUGUACAGGAGAAACAACCUUAAUUAUAAAAAUCAGUGUCCUAAGUUUCUGGCAAAUGAAAAAUCCUUUUUUACAAGCUAUUGCAUUAAAUUGUUAGUGCUUCAUAUAAAUGUAUAAUUUUUCAUGAAACAAUGAAGUAAUGCUUUCUUGAAAGGCUUGAUGUUUGAAACACUACAACUUGGAGAAAUUAACCAAUGUGUAGUGUCAAAUUUGCAUAGUACAGUACUUAUUCAAGCAUUUCAAGUUCUGUAUCUAUGCCAACUAAUAAGGCCACAAGGAACACUUAAAUUUCUGUACAUAAUCAAAGUACAUGUAUUUGAAAUAAUGAAAAUCUAGGGGCUUUUUGCUGUGGGCCUAUUUGGACUGUACCAUACCAAGCUUACUUAACGUUGUCAUGAGACCUUAAAUUAACAAAAUAUCCUGAUGGACUGCUCAGAUAUAUUUAUGAGAACUCAACUGACAACUCUUUUCAUCAAAGGAUCAUCGUAUGGUGAGCAUUUUAUAUAUGGGAAAAUAUAGGACUGAAACUUUUGCAUCACGUUGUAUGUACUAUAAAAAUUAACAGAGCAAUCCUCUGACACUGUGCCUGUGUUACAACUUUCUGCAAAUGAUGUCUUGGAUUUUAGACAGACUUUAUUCUGCAGAUGACUUCCAAUUUUACUGCAACUGUACAGCAAAUUCGAAACUGUAGUGCCUUCAAUGAAGAUGUAUUUAACUGGUUUAUGACUGUGGAGGAACAUAUUUUUUCUUUCUCAAAAUUGGUCUAUUAUUGAAUAAUUACAAAUAGAUGUGUGCUCUGAAAAGCUAUUGGAAUCAAUUCUAUUAAAACCAAAGACUUUACAGAGUGUAAGUUUGAAGCAACCAGAAAUGAUCUGAUGACUAGUAGCAAUAAAAAAGGCUUCUUUUGGUUUUGGCUUUUAUGAAUUUUUAAGAGCUUCCCAGAUGUUAAAAUUUACAUAGUAUGGAUAUACUCACAAGUUAAGUGGUUUUGUUUUUGGUUUGUUUUUUUUUUUUUUACAGACAGGAAUGAUGUAUAAACAUGGUGAAAGUCUGUAAUGUGCUCAGUUGCCUAAAGCUGAACUUCUUGCCAGGCACCAUAACAAUUUUGUGUCAAAAAAUAGUCUGUAAUGUUUUCCUUCUUUUCUUGGAGGGCUGCAUGUUCAUGAAAUCUGUUCACGUGUUGUGAUUUUGUGACAACUUAUUUUAUACUAUCAGACAGGAUUAUGCAGUUAUGUCCUACUUGAAGAUGAAGGAGAAAAAUGAAUGGCUGGAUUAUGGAAAUGAUAGCCAAAAUCUCUUCUUUACUACUUUAUAGAAUCAAGUUUAACUGCUUCAUGGUUAAUAUUUCAAUCAAAGGUAGAGGCUGCUAAGUUGUAACUCUCAGGUGUCCUGUCAUAGGUAAUAGUAGAGGGCCUUUCUUAACUGGUUAACUGCUAAGAAUUUGUUUGUCAACCCUUUCAGGGUAGGUAUCUGACCAUGGGCAUAGAAAACUUCCCCUCAACUGUUGAAAGACAUUUGGCAUAGACCAUGGAACAGCUGAAACAGUUAUAACACUUUUGUACCUACAGUAUAUAACCAUUUUGGAAUAAAUUAAAGAAUUCAGUCUGUAGCCAGGAAUCAUAAACAGUCUUAAGCAAAGUUGAAUGUUGGGAUUUAAUGGUUUCUAGUGUAGCAUAUGACUUUGAGUGUAAAAGUGGUAUUACUUUGAUAACUGGUUACCAUAAAUGCAAGGUCUUUUUCCAAAAGAGGUGGUACUCUUCUUCUAGAUUCUUUUCCAGGUUUAAUGCAGAAGCCAAAUAACCAGGCAUUGUUGAUUCCAUUGGCUCCAAUCUAAGCAUGGAAAUGUAGACUAUAUUCCAAAACAAUUAUCUAUAUACUGUUGUAUUUUAAAGAAAUAGCCUAAUUCUUUCUACAGCUUGUAGGCUAUAAAUGAGCAUGUAUUCAAUUUAAAUUUCCAUUGAGGAAAUGUGAAUUGAGUGUUUUAGCUUAUCAGCACUAUAUGUUGUCAGACUGUAAAGCAGUAAAAUUUUUGAAUGAUUAAA